rnacentral:rRNA from 1 species
CCUACGGGUGGCUGCAGUGAGGAAUAUUGGUCAAUUGACGAGCGUCUGAACCAGCCAAGUAGAGUGAAGGAUGACUGCCCUCUGGGUUGUAAUCUUUUUUUAUAUGGGAGUAAAAUGUUCCAUGAGUGGGCUUUUGUAUGUACCAUCUGAAUAAGGAUCGGCUAACCCCGAGCCAGCAGCCGAGGUACUAUCGAGGAUCCGGGCGUUAUCCGGAUUUUUUGGGUUUAAAGGGAGCGUCGGUGGAUUGUUAAGUAAGUUGUGAAAGUUUGCGGCUCAACCGUAAAAUGUCAGUUGAAACUGGCAGUCUAGAGUACAGUAGAGGUGGGCAGAAUUCGUGGUGUAGCGGUGAAAUGCGUAGAUAUCACGAAGAACUCCGAUUGCGAAGGCAGCUCACUGGACUACAACUGACACUGAGGCUCUAAAGUGUGGGUAGCAAACAGGAUUAGAUACCCCGGUAGUC